GAUGAACGCUGGCGGCGUGCCUAAUACAUGCAAGUCGAGCGAACGGACGAGAAGCUUGCUUCUCCGAUGUUAGCGGCGGACGGGUGAGUAACACGUGGAUAACCUACCUAUAAGACUGGGAUAACUUCGGGAAACCGGAGCUAAUACCGGAUAAUAUUUUGAACCGCAUGGUUCAAAAGUGAAAGACGGUCUUGCUGUCACUUAUAGAUGGAUCCGCGCUGCAUUAGCUAGUUGGUAAGGUAACGGCUUACCAAGGCAACGAUGCAUAGCCGACCUGAGAGGGUGAUCGGCCACACUGGAACUGAGACACGGUCCAGACUCCUACGGGAGGCAGCAGUAGGGAAUCUUCCGCAAUGGGCGAAAGCCUGACGGAGCAACGCCGCGUGAGUGAUGAAGGUCUUCGGAUCGUAAAACUCUGUUAUUAGGGAAGAACAUAUGUGUAAGUAACUGUGCACAUCUUGACGGUACCUAAUCAGAAAGCCACGGCUAACUACGUGCCAGCAGCCGCGGUAAUACGUAGGUGGCAAGCGUUAUCCGGAAUUAUUGGGCGUAAAGCGCGCGUAGGCGGUUUUUUAAGUCUGAUGUGAAAGCCCGCGGCUCAACCGUGGAGGGUCAUUGGAAACUGGAAAACUUGAGUGCAGAAGAGGAAAGUGGAAUUCCAUGUGUAGCGGUGAAAUGCGCAGAGAUAUGGAGGAACACCAGUGGCGAAGGCGACUUUCUGGUCUGUAACUGACGCUGAUGUGCGAAAGCGUGGGGAUCAAACAGGAUUAGAUACCCUGGUAGUCCACGCCGUAAACGAUGAGUGCUAAGUGUUAGGGGGUUUCCGCCCCUUAGUGCUGCAGCUAACGCAUUAAGCACUCCGCCUGGGGAGUACGACCGCAAGGUUGAAACUCAAAGGAAUUGACGGGGACCCGCACAAGCGGUGGAGCAUGUGGUUUAAUUCGAAGCAACGCGAAGAACCUUACCAAAUCUUGACAUCCUCUGACAACUCUAGAGAUAGAGCUUUCCCCUUCGGGGGACAAAGUGACAGGUGGUGCAUGGUUGUCGUCAGCUCGUGUCGUGAGAUGUUGGGUUAAGUCCCGCAACGAGCGCAACCCUUAAGCUUAGUUGCCAUCAUUAAGUUGGGCACUCUAAGUUGACUGCCGGUGACAAACCGGAGGAAGGUGGGGAUGACGUCAAAUCAUCAUGCCCCUUAUGAUUUGGGCUACACACGUGCUACAAUGGACAAUACAAAGGGCAGCGAAACCGUGAGGUCAAGCAAAUCCCAUAAAGUUGUUCUCAGUUCGGAUUGUAGUCUGCAACUCGACUACAUGAAGCUGGAAUCGCUAGUAAUCGUAGAUCAGCAUGCUACGGUGAAUACGUUCCCGGGUCU
rnacentral:rRNA from 1 species